AAACCCUGAUCCAGCCAUGCCGCGUGAGUGAAGAAGGCCUUCGGGUUGUAAAGCUCUUCAGCCGGAACGAAACGGUCACGGUUAAUACCCGUGACUACUGACGGUACCGGAAGAAGAAGCACCGGCUAACUACGUGCCAGCAGCCGCGGUAAUACGUAGGGUGCGAGCGUUAAUCGGAAUUACUGGGCGUAAAGCGUGCGCAGGCGGUUUUGUAAGUCAGAUGUGAAAUCCCCGGGCUUAACCUGGGAACUGCGUUUGAAACUACAAGGCUAGAGUGUGGCAGAGGGGGUGGAAUUCCACGUGUAGCAGUGAAAUGCGUAGAGAUGUGGAGGAACACCGAUGGCGAAGGCAGCCCCCUGGGUUAACACUGACGCUCAGGCACGAAAGCGUGGGGAGCAAACAGGAUUAGAUACCCUGGUAGUCCACGCCCUAAACGAUGUCAACUAGUUGUCGGGUCUUAACGGACUUGGUAACGCAGCUAACGCGUGAAGUUGACCGCCUGGGGAGUACGGUCGCAAGAUUA
rnacentral:rRNA from 1 species